CAACGCAUUUUGGAGGAAUUCUAUAUUGUCACACUUGCACUACGUCAUUAAUAACAAACUAAUUAUAUUCAUUUUUUUUAAACAAAAGUACAAUAAAAAUAUUUUUUUACAAUCAUGAUGGGAUAUAUAUUCUUAAAAGAAUUAAUUUGAUUGAUUUGUUACGCCACGUCACUAAUAUACCGGUUGCAUUUUAAAAUUUUUCUGCAUUUUGACCCCUCUAUCAGUAUUUGCC
rnacentral:lncRNA from 1 species